rnacentral:rRNA from 1 species
AGAACGAACGCUGGCGGCGUGCUUAACACAUGCAAGUCGCGUGCGCAGUCUGUAGCAAUACAGGCCGGCGCACGGCGCACGGGUGCGUAACACGUGGGCAAUCUGCCCUCUGAUGGGGAAUAACCCCGCGAAAGCGGGGCUAAUUCCGCAUAAAAUUCCGAGAACCUCGGUUUUUGGAUUCAAAGCAGUAAUGCGUCAGAGGAGGAGCCCGCGCCCGAUUAGCUAGUUGGUGAGGUAACGGCUCACCAAGGCAAUGAUCGGUAGCUGGUCUGAGAGGAUGAUCAGCCACACUGGAACUGAGACACGGUCCAGACUCCUACGGGAGGCAGCAGUGGGGAAUCUUGCACAAUGGGCGAAAGCCUGAUGCAGCGACGCCGCGUGGGGGAUGAAGCUUUUCGGAGUGUAAACCCCUUUCGACUGGGACGAAAACCCGCAAGGGAUUGACGGUACCAGUAUAAGAAGCCCCGGCUAACUACGUGCCAGCAGCCGCGGUAAGACGUAGGGGGCCAGCGUUGUUCGGAAUUACUGGGUGUAAAGGGUUCGUAGGCGGUGUGGCAAGUCGGGAGUGAAAUCUCUGGGCUCAACCCAGAGACUGCUUCCGAAACUGCUGUGCUUGAGUGUGAGAGAGGCUCGUGGAAUUGCAGGUGUAGCGGUGAAAUGCGUAGAUAUCUGCAGGAACACCCGUGGCGAAAGCGGCGAGCUGGAUCACUACUGACGCUGAGGAACGAAAGCUAGGGGAGCAAACAGGAUUAGAUACCCUGGUAGUCCACGCCGUAAACGUUGGGCACUAGGUGUGGGACCUUAUCAACGGGUUCCGUGCCGCAGCUAACGCAUUAAGUGCCCCGCCUGGGGAGUACGGUCGCAAGGCUAAA